rnacentral:rRNA from 1 species
GACGAACGCUGGCGGCGUGCUUAACACAUGCAAGUCGAACGAUGAAACCGCUUCGGUGGCGGAUUAGUGGCGAACGGGUGAGUAACACGUGGGCAAUCUGCCCUUCACUCUGGGACAAGCCCUGGAAACGGGGUCUAAUACCGGAUAACACUCUGUCCCGCAUGGGACGGGGUUGAAAGCUCCGGCGGUGAAGGAUGAGCCCGCGGCCUAUCAGCUUGUUGGUGGGGUAAUGGCCUACCAAGGCGACGACGGGUAGCCGGCCUGAGAGGGCGACCGGCCACACUGGGACUGAGACACGGCCCAGACUCCUACGGGAGGCAGCAGUGGGGAAUAUUGCACAAUGGGCGAAAGCCUGACGCAGCAACGCCGCGUGCGGGAUGAAGGCCUUCGGGUUGUAAACCGCUCUCAGCAGGGAUGAAACUGACAGUACCUGCAGAAGAAGCCCCAGCUAACUACGUGCCAGCCGCCGCAGUAAUAC